CCCUUAGAUGUUCUGGGCUGCACGCGCGCUACACUGAUCGGUGCAACAAGCAUCCGUCCUUGGCCGACAGGCCCGGGCAAUCUUUGAACGCCGGUCGUGAUGGGGAUAGACCUUUGCAAUUUUUGGUCUUCAACGAGGAAUUCCUAGUAAACGCAAGUCAUCAACUUGCAUUGAUUACGUCCCUGCCCUUUGUACACACCGCCCGUCGCACCUACCGAUUGAAUGGUCCGGUGAAACCUCCGGAUUGGCGCGUGCCCUCGGGCGCCGCCGAGAAGUUGGUUAAACCUUACCAUUUAGAGGAAGGUGAAGUCGUAACA
rnacentral:rRNA from 1 species